GACGGAGGGUGCAAGCGUUGUUCGGAAUUACUGGGCGUAAAGCGUGCGCAGGCGGUUUUGUAAGCCAGGUGUGAAAUCCCCGGGCUCAACCUGGGAAUGGCAUUUGGGACUGCAAGGCUGGAGUGCGGCAGAGGAGACUGGAAUUCCUGGUGUAGCAGUGAAAUGCGUAGAUAUCAGGAGGAAUACCGAUGGCGAAGGCAGGUCUCUGGGCUGACACUGACGCUCAUGCACGAAAGCGUGGGGAGCAAACAGG
rnacentral:rRNA from 1 species